GGAGUUAGGUGAAGAGGAGAACGAUGUCCAGGCAGGGGCCGGGGAAGCUCGUGCCAAGGCACUGAGGGGAAGUGCUGCAAUGAACCUCAGAGGCUGGAUCUUGCUGACUCAUCUGGGGUACCAAGGACAGACAAAGGACAUGGAGUCCAGGCCCAGGAGGCGAUACCAGGCCAGCAGUUUCACUGAUGCUCCUGUCAUGACGAUGACUGCCUCCCUCCUCCCCUUGGUCCCUGACUCAGUGUCUGCAGUGACCAGGCACCAGGCAGGGAGCAAGGAACCAAGCCUUUCACCUGCUCCCACCAACUCCUAUGGUGCUCCCUUUCCAAGGCUAGGUCUCCUCUCCACCCAGUUCCUUAUCACGUACCAUGAGAAGCUGUCACCUUGGCAACUGUCACCUUCUGGUGAGAUUUACAAUUGCACUGCUACAACUGCUUGUGGCAUGGUAAAGUUGCACCAGGACCUCUGCUGUCCAUGAGAUCAAAGUUCCAGGCCAAGGCACCAGGGGCACGAACAGUGUUGCCCGCAUGGAACUCACACUUAAUGGGAGCGGCAGCCAACAGGAGGAGAAUUGGGAAGCUGAGAGCAGAGGAGGGAGGAAGACUUACUUUUCACCGUGUUCUUUUUUGUACCUUUUGAGUUUUGUACGACAUACUGAAUCUUUGACCCAUUUGCAAUUAUAAAUAAAGGCACAUUUAUUUGGCCG
ensembl:lncRNA FLJ40194 uncharacterized FLJ40194